CAUGAGAUGCAUGCUGCUGUGACCUAGAAGAUACUCAUUGCAGUAAAAAUAAAUAAAUAARUAUCRGUGAGCGGGGRCAACAGAAAGCAAACUGCAGCCRUUUGCRCRGUAGGAUUUACCAUACCACCGGCAUAUCUCUGCUACCUGUUGCUAGGCGAGGAAAGCCUCAUUGAGGUCUCGUUUUACAUGAACUCGAGAGCUCCUUCGCAUCUAACAGUUCCUGCAUUGGAGGCUGUCUCCAGUCCUGUUUCUCAUUACCRCAGUUUCACCGGGAGCAGGUUGGUAAAAUGAGUUUAUAAACUACAGCAUUCACGAGUUAAUUCCAUCAUAAAGUUAUCCUGUUUUUAUUAGGUCCUGUGACAUACCAACCAAUACGAAACUAGCCUUCUAAAAACCCAACGUUUCUCUCUUACACCCCGUUAGAUAGCACGCUCCUUCCAGGAAACUCCUUCCAUUAUUUAGGAUGGCGGGCAGGAAAGGAAGAGAGGGGAACGACCGUGUCGGUAACGCACGCCUCGGCUUGUUUCUACUGAGUACGUGAAGAAAAGGGGAAAUAWGAAACUGUAGAAAGUGGUCAUAGCCAUCUCCUAAAGCAUCAAGUGCUGCGAGGGAACGACGAGGCAUUGCACUUGCAGGAAUCAGAUGAGCACUGARCAAGGCAGAAAGCGUUGUGGUUGUGGAUCAGUCCCGCUCGGCUCUCCCUGAAGUAGUUUGAUUGGAGAUGAAGCAUGAGAAGGCCGCAAAGUGGUGGUACCAUGACCAAAGGAAGUUUUGAGAGAAAACGUAAUAUGAGGACAGUCGUAUCAGGUCAAGCCAAGAGUUCAUCUAGCUCCAUGUCCUUUGACAAGGACUGGAAGUGGGACCUUGGAGAAAAAUACAGGAAUGAGGCAAGAAUAGGUGAUACUUCCCAGGAGUACUUUCCCAGUUUCUAGGCACUUACAAGUCGGUGAUAUCCUGAGAAGGUGGGAGUGUUUUCUGCGUGUUUCUUCAGUUCUAACCUUCAGUAACCUUCUCUGGACUUGUCUGGUCUCCCUGUGUCAGACACAGGCAAGCAAUGCUCUGACCACUACUUAGUUCCAUCAUUUUUUACCGAUUGCACUCAUAACCCAUUCUAACUAUUGCUUUGCUGCCAUAAACUGUGAUUGGUUCCAGGCAGCAUUCCAGAGAUGUUCUUCUUUUGCCAUUUCCUUUGAUUUAGCUUUUG
rnacentral:lncRNA from 1 species